rnacentral:rRNA from 1 species
CCUACGGGGGGCAGCAGUGGGGAAUAUUGGACAAUGGGGGGAACCCUGAUCCAGCCAUGCCGCGUGUGUGAAGAAGGCCCUCGGGUUGUAAAGCACUUUCAGUGAGGAAGAACGCCUGGUGGUUAAUACCCAUCAGGAAAGACAUCACUCACAGAAGAAGCACCGGCUAACUCCGUGCCAGCAGCCGCGGUAAUACGGAGGGUGCGAGCGUUAAUCGGAAUUACUGGGCGUAAAGCGCGCGUAGGUGGCUUGAUAAGCCGGUUGUGAAAGCCCCGGGCUCAACCUGGGAACGGCAUCCGGAACUGUCAAGCUAGAGUGCAGGAGAGGAAGGUAGACUUCCCGGUGUAGCGGUGAAAUGCGUAGAGAUCGGGAGGAAUACCAGUGGCGAAGGCGGCCUUCUGGACUGACACUGACACUGAGGUGCGAAAGCGUGGGUAGCAAACAGGAUUAGAUACCCUUGUAGUC